GGGUAAACUCAACACUGAGAAAUACAGUAACAGUUGACCUGGGUAAACUCAACACUGAGAAAUACAGUAACAGUUGACCUGGAUAAACUCAACACUGAGAAAUACAGUAACAGUUGACCUGGGUAAACUCAACACUGAGAAAUACAGUAACAGUUGACCUGGAUAAACUCAACACUGAGAAAUACAGUAACAGUUGAUUGUCUUGAUCAAGGGUGCAUAAACUCAGGCCCUCGACGUCCACAGUCCUGCUAGGUUAGUGUUUCUCCCUGGUUCUUAUGAUCAACUAAUGAUUGGCUGACGUGUGCACACACCUCGUUUCCCAGCGACAAAUCAAUCUCUGGUAACAAGGCAAGGAUGAAAAAACUGUCCUUUUCACACUACAGAGUCGAUCUAAGCCAAGCUGAACUGGCCUGCAAAGGACAAGGUGAUAAGAAUGGUUAGAUGGUUAGGAUCAGAACAACAGUGUGACUAGGUUAAAGGAGUAGAACCAGACCAGUAUGGUUAGGAUCAGAACGACAGUGUGACUAGGUUAAAGGAGUAGAACCAGAACAGUAUGGUUAGGAUCAGAACGACAGUGUGAUUAGGUUAAAGGAGUAGAACCAGACCAGUAUGGUUAGGAUCAGAACGACAGUGUGACUAGGUUAAAGGAGUAGAACCAGAACAGUAUGGUUAGGAUCAGAACGACAGUGUGAUUAGGUUAAAGGAGUAGAACCAGAACAGUAUGGUUAUGAUCAAAUUCAGCUCCUUACGUUCUUGAACUAAGUUUAGCACCCUAAUAAAAAAACUACAUAUCAGAAUAUAUCAAAUAUAUAUUUUGUGUCUCUCUGGAUCAGAGCCUCUACUUGUCUUACAAGAGUAUUACUAUGCAAUAUACAAGCUGGACUUUAAAGUCUUUCGCUUCCCUCAAUACUCCUCACCUUCAGAAGUGUCUUUGGAGCAGAAUCAAGUCAAACUACAAGAAACCCAAGAAUUACAAGUCAUACUUAUAAUUGACCUGUAAGCAGCUAGUUGAAACUGUCAUCACAGUUCAAGGAACAGGAUCCUGGGUGUGUUAAUACAGCACUUGAACCAUAAGGCACUUCUUACAGUACUUAUCAGUAUAAUGAUAGGUCACCUAUAAUAAGGC
ensembl:lncRNA